rnacentral:rRNA from 1 species
UCCAAUCGAACCCGGAGAUAGCUGGUUCUCCCCGAAAUAGCUUUAGGGCUAGCGUCGGAAAGAACCUUAGUGAAGGUAGAGCACUGAAUGUGUGAUGGCCCCAUCCCGGGGUACUGAAUACAAUCAAACUGCGAAUGUCAUUAAGGAUGUCCGGCAGUCAGACUGUGAGUGAUAAGGUCCAUGGUCAAGAGGGAAACAGCCCAGACCGCCAGUUAAGGUCCCAAAAUACAGGCUAAGUGGAAAAGGAUGUGGGGAUGCCCAGACAACUAGGAGGUUGGCUCAGAAGCAGCCAUCCUUUAAAGAGUGCGUAACAGCUCACUAGUCGAGUGACCCUGCGCCGAAAAUGUACCGGGGCUAAGCCUGAUACCGAAACUGCGGAUUGUAGGAAACUAUAGUGGUAGGGGAGCGUUGUAUACGAGCAGAAGCCGUACCGUGAGGAGCGGUGGAUUGUAUAGAAGUGAGAAUGCCGGUGUGAGUAGCGAGAUGUAGGUGAGAAUCCUACACACCGAAAGCCCAAGGAUUCCAGGGGAAGGUUCGUCCGCCCUGGGUAAGUCGGGACCUAACGCGAGGCCGAAAGGCGUAGUGGAUGGAAAGCAGGCGAAAGAUUCCUGCACCCGUAUAUGGAGCGAAGGAGUGACGGAGACGGAUAGUGUGACCCUCUUAAUGGAUUGAGGGCGAAGCGAAGCGGCUGGUUACCAGGCAAAUCCGGUAACCAAAAGGCUAGAGCGUGACAGGUAAGCGAAAUCCAAGGAAAGUAGCGAAGCACAUGAUGACGGCUUCCAGGAAAAGCUUCUGGCAAUGCAUAUGCGGCCCGUACCAAAACCGACACAGGUGGGCAGGGAGAGAAUCCCGAGGUGAGCGAGAGAACUGUUGCCAAGGAACUCGGCAAAAUGACUCCGUAAGUUAGCGAGAAGGAGUGCUUAAGCAAUUAAGCCGCAGUGAAGAGGCCCAAGCGACUGUUUAACUAAAACACAGCUCUCUGCGAAGUCGCAAGACGAAGUAUAGGGGGUGACACCUGCCCGGUGCUGGAAGGUUAAGAGGAUCUGUUAAGAGCGAUCUGAAGCAGUGAUCCGAAGCCCCAGUGAACGGCGGCCGUAACUAUAACGGUCCUAAGGUAGCGAAAUUCCUUGUCAGGUAAGUUCUGACCCGCACGAAAGGUGUAACGAUUUGGGCGCUGUCUCGGCAGCAGACUCGGUGAAAUCUUAGUACCUGUGAAAAUGCAGGUUACCCGCAACUAGACGGAAAGACCCCAUGGAGCUUUACUGCAGCCUGAUAUUGAAUUCUGGUCAUACAUGUACAGGAUAGGUGGGAGACAAAGAGACGUGCACGCCAGUGUACGAGGAGUCGACGUUGGGAUACCACUCUUGUGUGACCGGGGUUCUAACCUGGUAUCGAGAACAGGUACGGGGAGAGUGUCAGGUGGGCAGUUUGACUGGGGCGGUCGCCUCCCAAAGAGUAACGGAGGCGCCCAAAGGUACGCUCAGAUUGGAUGGAAACCAAUCGUCGAGUGCAAUUGCAGAAGCGUGCUUGACUGUGAGACAGACAAGUCGAACAGGGACGAAAGUCGGGAAUAGUGAUCCGGCGGUGCCGAAUGGAAGGGCCGUCGCUCAACGGAUAAAAGCUACCCUGGGGAUAACAGGCUGAUCUCGCCCAAGAGUUCACAUCGACGGCGAGGUUUGGCACCUCGAUGUCGGCUCAUCGCAUCCUGGAGCUGGAUUCGGUUCCAAGGGUUGGGCUGUCCGCCCAUUAAAGCGGUACGCGAGCUGGGUUCAGAACGUCGUGAGACAGUUCGGUCCCUAUCUGUUGUGGGCGAAGGAGAUCUGCGGAGAGCUGUCCUCAGUACGAGAGGACCGGGAUGGACCUACCGCUGGUGCACCGGUUGUUCCGCCAGGGGCAUAGCCGGGUAGCUAAGUAGGGAAAGGAUAAGCGCUGAAAGCAUCUAAGCACGAAGCCUACUCCAAGAUGAGAUCUCCCAUUCGCAAGAAGUAAGACCCCUUAAAGACGAUAAGGUAGAUAGGCCAGGGAUGGAAGUGCAGUGAUGUACGGAGUUGACUGGUACUAAUCGGUCGAGGACUUAAUCAG